GCCACACUUUGAGAAAUGGGGUUGAGGCUCCUAUUGUGUUUUAUUCACGGACUUUAUCUACUACAGAGAGGAAUUAUGCCCAAAUUGACAAGGAGGCUUUAGCUAUUGUGUCCAGUGUAAAAAAGUUUCAGGACUAUUUGUAUGGGCGGAGGUUUACUAUUAUAACAGAUCAUAAACCUUUACUGGGUCUGUUCACCAGCAAUACUCCCACUCCUCAAAUAAUUUCACCACGCAUGCUCAGGUGGUUCCUUAUGCUGAAUGCCUAUGAUUGUGAGUUCAAGUAUCAUCCUGGCAAGGAUAUCAAACAUGCUGAUGGAUUAAGCCGAUUACCUUUGCCUUCUCCUGACUUCCUUGUUCCUCCUAUGCCUGAGGUCCUCAUGUUGGAAUCCAUUCCAAAUCCUCCGUUACAUGCAAGUCACAUUGCUUGUAUGUCUGCCAAGGAUCCUUUGCUGUCCCGUGUGCUCAACUGGGUUUGGAGGGGGUGGCCAAAAUCAAAAGUGGAAGACAAGUUCAAACCAUUUGUAGUGCGCCAACAUGAACUAUUUGCCUAUAAAGGGUGCCUAUUAUGGGGAAACAGAGUGGUAAUUCCAAAUGCAGGACAAGCUCGAGUAUUGCAUGCUCUUCAUGAAGGACAUCCUGGAAUAGUUUGCAUGAAAGCUUUAGCCAGAAGUUAUGUUUGGUGGCCUAAAAUGGAUGAAGUUAUUGAAAAGCGGGUGAAGAACCGUGUACCAUGCCAAUCUACUCGUCAUGCUCCACCUAAAGCCUCAGUACAUCCUUGGGAAGUGACUAGAUCACCGUUUACAUAUAGAUUUUGCUGACCCUUUUCAUGGACAGAUGUUUUUUUUAGUUGUUGACUCCUUUUCAAAAUGGUUAGAAGUUGUUCCAGUUACAUCUGCUACCUCAGUCACAGUCAUAAAGAUUCUAAGGAGGCUGUUUGCUACACAUGGGUUGCCAGAUACAAUUGUGUCUGAUAAUGGAACACAAUUUACCUCAUCAGAAUUAAAAAUUUUCAUGGCAAGUAAUCUUAAUCGACAUGUUACGAUUGCACCAUUUAACCCAUCGUCAAAUGGUCAAGCAGAG